UUGUGUUACGUAUGCAAUUUUAAGGUUUUCGAAAAAAACCUACGAUUUCGACGAGGAUGAGCAGUAAACCGGGCUUUCUGAAAAGCUGGUAAAUGACAAUGAUGACGUCAUUGGAUACAUGAAAAAGAUUUACAGAGGAACAGAGGGACUCCGACGAAAACCGUAAAAAAAAAAACGUAACGACGCAAAAGGGAAAAUUUCUUCGGGGAAGGUUCAUCAAUGGCGAACCGGUGAUUCAGUCCUCACAUCAACUGCCGUAGUUUCCAUUAGGUAAACUAAAUCUCACCCUCUCUUUUUUACCCGAUUCCGUAUCCGUUUUUCAAUUUCUCCCCCUCUUCAAUGCCCUCGUUUUCGUCUUCCACUAUUUGAUCUGACAACUAAAGAACUUCGAUUUCGAUUAUGCAUGAAGCUGUAGAGUCGUAGUUGAUUUUGGCUUUGAUUCUUUGAAUCUGUUGCUGGGUAUUGAUGUCUGAUCAUUUCUAUAAUCGGAGCUUUACUCGCUAGGGUUUAUCUUUCGUGGUGGGUUCGUUGUUUCGCAAUCCUAAUUCGGAUUAGGGUUUUUGGGUCUUUGAUCUGGUCAAUGUGCGAGGGAUUUGAUACUCAGUUGUGUUUUCCUGCAUCCGUAUCUUGAAGAGGAAGAGAGGAUUUAAACCGGAUUUACUGUUCAUACUCGUCGAAAUCGCCGGUGUUUCGAAAACCCUGAAAUUGUAUACGUGGCACAAAAUUUCUGAACUGAUCUGACACGUCAUACGCUACGUGGAUUAGGUCAACUCUUUUCGUUGACCAAUUAACGGUGAGGACUGUUAUGGAACAGAUUAACAAGUUCAGUUAUUAACAUGUUCAAUUUUCCAAGUUCGGGAAUUAAUAGACACCUCUGUAAGUUCAAGAA